AUGUCAGAGAGCGAGACCCUAGAUGCGUUCGCCGGCAGGCUCGGAGGCAUGGCGGCGCGCUACGCGGCGCUGGGCUCGACCCUAGAGGACGCGGCGCUCGUCAAGAAACUGCUCGACUCGGUGCCGUACCGCCUGUACGCGGCGGUGGUCGGGAUCGAGCAGUUCUGUGAUGUCUCGACGAUGCUCUUCGAGGAUGCGCCGGGUCGUCUGAAGGCGUUCGAUGAGCGGCUUCGACGACGCGGGCAGGCAGGCGGCGAGCGCGCGGAUGGGCAACUACUGUACAUUGCGGCACAGUGGCGGGCGCGCGAGCGGCGU
rnacentral:rRNA from 1 species